rnacentral:tRNA from 1 species
CACUAAGAGGCUGUAUAGCACUAACCUUUUAAGUUAGAGAUGGAGAGCCGUAUACUCUCCUUGGUGA